rnacentral:misc_RNA from 1 species
AAGUCGUAACAAGGUUUCCGUAGGUGAACCUGCGGAAGGAUCAUUACAUUCAGUAGCCUAGCUACUUGUUUACACCCUUGUUUUUUUGCGCACUUUAUUGUAUCCCUCGGCGGGCUUGCUCGCCGGUUGGACAACAUUUAUAACCUUUUUUAAUCUUGAAUCAGCGUCUGAAUUAUACAUAAUAAUUACAACUUUCAACAACGGAUCUCUUGGUUCUG